CGGGACACGUGGUAUCCUGUCUGAAUAUGGGGGGACCAUCCUCCAAGGCUAAAUACUCCUGACUGACCGAUAGUGAACCAGUACCGUGAGGGAAAGGCGAAAAGAACCCCGGCGAGGGGAGUGAAAAAGAACCUGAAACCGUGUACGUACAAGCAGUGGGAGCCUCUUAAUGGGGUGACUGCGUACCUUUUGUAUAAUGGGUCAGCGACUUAUAUUCUGUAGCAAGGUUAACCGAAUAGGGGAGCCGAAGGGAAACCGAGUCUUAACUGGGCGUUAAGUUGCAGGGUAUAGACCCGAAACCCGGUGAUCUAGCCAUGGGCAGGUUGAAGGUUGGGUAACACUAACUGGAGGACCGAACCGACUAAUGUUGAAAAAUUAGCGGAUGACUUGUGGCUGGGGGUGAAAGGCCAAUCAAACCGGGAGAUAGCUGGUUCUCCCCGAAAGCUAUUUAGGUAGCGCCUCGUGAAUUCAUCUCCGGGGGUAGAGCACUGUUUCGGCAAGGGGGUCAUCCCGACUUACCAACCCGAUGCAAACUGCGAAUACCGGAGAAUGUUAUCACGGGAGACACACGGCGGGUGCUAACGUCCGUCGUGAAGAGGGAAACAACCCAGACCGCCAGCUAAGGUCCCAAAGUCAUGGUUAAGUGGGAAACGAUGUGGGAAGGCCCAGACAGCCAGGAUGUUGGCUUAGAAGCAGCCAUCAUUUAAAGAAAGCGUAAUAGCUCACUGGUCGAGUCGGCCUGCGCGGAAGAUGUAACGGGGCUAAACCAUGCACCGAAGCUGCGGCAGCGACGCUUAUGCGUUGUUGGGUAGGGGAGCGUUCUGUAAGCCUGUGAAGGUGUGCUGUGAGGCAUGCUGGAGGUAUCAGAAGUGCGAAUGCUGACAUA
rnacentral:rRNA from 1 species